UCUCCCUCGAAUCCACGAUGCCGCCGCCUGCUCUGUCUGCAUCGCCGUGCGCAGCGCCUACCCCGCUUCACGACAACGGAGCUGAACCGCUCGCCGAUGUCACGGCCGCACCGUGCGCCCCCUUCCCCGGCUCCGCUUUUGACCGCCGCGAGCCCCGGAUGCACGUCACGCGUCCCGGGCCGUAUGCCGAGGAUCCCCUCCGCUCCUUUCACCUCCCUGCGAACCCUAGCCCUCGGGCUAUAAAACCCCUGGUCGGCGCCCUUGGAACCCUAGAGCACCUGGGGAUUUCCGCCAAGCCGCCACCGCUGCCUGGAACAGAGAGGGAGAGCGAGCCGUGAAGAAAGAAGGGGAAGCAGGGGAGAAAGAAGGAGAAGAGGAGGCCGCCGCUGCCACCGUCGCCGAGCCCAGGGAGGAGGUGAACCAGCGCUGCCACCCGGACGUUGCUAAGCCAAGGAAGGAGGAGUCGUCGGCCGCGUCACCAAGCCCAGGGAGGAGGAACUACGCCGGACCGCCGCUGCCCAGGGAGCUUCGGGCCGCCGCGUCGCCGCAUCAAGCAGGAGGGCCAGCGCCGCCGCCUAUGGAGCCGAGGAGGAGCGCCCAGCCGAGGAGGAGCCACCGCCAAGGAUGACACCGCUGCCGCACCAGAAGCCCAGCAAGGACGAGCCAAUGCCGAGGAACGCCGCCGCACCUGCGCCCGUACGUCGACGUCAGCGCAGCCGCUCGGCACGGCACGGCCCUGACGCGCCACGGCCUCAUCUCUGUCCGCUCCGAGCCCAAAUGGUCCCUACGGGGAGGAGUUGACCAACGUCCCGGACGACUAGAGGAUCCAGAAGGACUUCCCCAAUGCCUAGAAGAUCUAGGAGGACGUACCGGAGGACCAGAAGACCUCGAAGACCCAGAAAGAUUACGAAGAACUAUCAGGUUCACGCCCAUCCUUGCUUUUGAAUACCCAAUAGGCAUUGCGUGCUAGAUACACUACGCUUUAUUGUUCAGUUGUGAUGUGAUGAGCCUGCAGAGCCUAUUUAAUUACCAUAUUCCUUGAUUACCAUGUUUACCUUGAAUCGUUGAAUGCUUUGGCUUCUACGGGUGUUGGUAUAUAUGUGGGAUUAUUUGAUAUGAUAGUCUUGGCGUGAGUGAAGAUUCCCCUAUAUAAGGAGUCGGUGAUUAGGGCUUUUGCGGGGGCGAGCGAACCAUAACCGAUUUUCGGAUCUGGGGCUAGGGAUUGUGUGUUGGGCACAAUCCUGCGGAGUAACUGUGGCGGGUACAACCUUCCUUCGGAAGACCGUUCCUUCGGGAACUUCGACGGAGUUGGAGGGCAACACCAGUAAUGGGUGCCGGAUGCGAACCGCGAGGACGGAGACGCACGUUGACGAAGAUGCUCGCCCCGGCAAGAUUAAGGACCUGAGCUUGUGCACCUGGAAAUAGAACUUUGUCAAACGUGCACACCACUUAUCCAUUAUGAGGGUGGACCCGGUCCUGGCUAGAUACACGCGGCACCAAGUCUGUAGGAGGAUAGAGUAUCAGUGUUAGGGGGAGAGGGCUGCCCUAUGGCCCUCGAUCAGUAGGAUUCAUUUGGAUCCCAUUCUAGAUUGCUUCAUAGCCCUGUGCGACCUCUCGUGGGAGGACGCACCCCAGACCGGGAGCAGGUUGGUGCCGUAGCCGUUAGUUUUGUUAGACCGGUGCCACGGAGUCAGUCGGGUCAUUUCCGGCUGGCGUCGGGGCGACUGGGUACAGGUGUACAACCCCUGCAGGGUGAAAACUAUACGUAUUGCCACGUACUCGAUCAUGUACAACUCUGAAUCUGGCUUCACUUCUUAGAGUGGUUCCACUUGAUAUAUUUCUACCUCCCUCUAGUCUACUUUUUCUGCUCGGAUAGCAGUUGAGGUGGCGGGAGAGAGAGUUCCCACACCGAACCAGGGAUGGGUCAUGUCAUAGUGGAAGAUAGAUAUGACCGGGAGUCCGGAAUACUGGAAUGGCCCGCGUCCUGCUUGCAUAGGAAAAUCUAGCCUUUUUAGCAAUAUUUGUUUUCUUUAUGCAUCCACCUAUACACUGCAUGCGGAUAGUGACGUGAACCUAUCCCAUCCUUGGGGAUAGCCUUUUUUUAGCAAUAUUUGUUUUCUUUAUGCAUCCACCUAUAAUCUGAGUGGAGGAUCAACCAAGACAACGAAGGAAGAAUUUAAGGACGACCCGAGCUACACUCUGCGCUGCAUGUGGAGAAGAGCUGAGAAGAUGAAGUUUGCCCAGAAGAUUAGCUAUCGCUUCCAUUUUUUAUUUGUUUCCUUUUAUGCCAAAGGGCUUGUAAUCUGAGAUUCAUAUUACAAUCCUUUGGAUUAUGUAAUAAAUAAACCCAUGUACUAUUUUAUCGCGAGAUAUGUCUGUGAUAUGUAA